GAUUGCUUCGGCUAUACAUAUGCUAAAAUUGGAACGAUACAGCGAUUAGCAUGGGCCCUGUGCAAAGAUGACACGCAAAUUCGCGAAGCAUUCCAUAUUCUU